rnacentral:rRNA from 1 species
UACGUAGGGGGCAAGCGUUGUCCGGAUUUAUUGGGCGUAAAGAGCGUGUAGGCGGCCAGGUAGGUCUGUUGUGAAAACUCGAGGCUCAACCUCGAGACGCCGAUGGAAACCAUCUGGCUAGAGUCCGGAAGAGGAGAGUGGGAAUUCCCGGUGUAGCGGUGAAAUGCGCAGAUAUCAGGAGGAACACCAAUGGCGAAGGCAGCUCGCUGGGACGGUACUGACGCUGAGGCACGGAAG